CUCGACCCCAGGUCAGGUCAGGCAAGGAUUCCCCUAGUAACGCCGAGCGAACCGGGAAU
rnacentral:rRNA from 1 species